GGGCUUGUAGCACAGUGGUAGCGCGCUCGCUUUGCAUGUUCUGAUGUAUGCGAGAGGUCUAGGGUUCGAUCCCCUACUGGUCCA